rnacentral:piRNA from 1 species
UAGAAGACAGCAUGGUUCUAGGUACCCACGU